UAAUUGUCUCCACUUUCUAUUCCCUCCACUUCUCCCUUUUUUUCCAUUUAUAUCUCAAAAUUUCUUCCUCCCACCACUUGCCAAUAGCCAUUAUUGAAGAUGAGAACUUGAAAGUGAAUCAUUCGAUAGUAAGAUUUUCACAAAAUAAAAGGCGUUUUUUCGUUCAAAAGGUGAAUCAAGGUGGUUAAUAACUUGAUGUCAACUCCGAAGUCUCCCCUUCCUACCCACAAUUCUCCACCCUCCUCCCCUAACCACUCUCCUCCUCCUCCUUCUCGUCCUCGUCGCCUUCCCCCAUGGAAAGGUGCAAAGCUAAUCCCACUAGCUAUAUCGAUAGCAAUUGGCCUGAUUUUUCGUUUCGCGGUCCCAAAACCCCAUAAAGUCACUACAAACGCGUGGCAACUCUUAGCCAUUUUCCUUGCAACUAUCUCGGGCCUUGUUUUAGGCCCGUUACCAGUAGGUGCAUGGGCUUUUCUUUGUCUCACAGUUACUGUCGUCACAAAAACCUUAACAUUCGCCGCGGCGUUUGCUGCUUUCACUAAUGAAGUCAUUUGGUUAAUUGUUGUAUCAUUUUUUUUCUCAAGAGGAUUUAUUAAAACUGGGCUUGGUGAUAGAAUUGCCUUAUGUUUUGUAAGUUGGCUUGGGAAAAAUACAUUGGGCCUAUCUUAUGGGCUUGCGUUAAGUGAAGCAGCCAUUUCUCCAGCAAUUCCAAGUACUACUGCAAGAGCUGGUGGCAUUUUUUUGCCUAUAAUUAAAUCAUUGGCUGUUACAGCUGAUAGUCACCCAAAAAAUGAUUCUUCUAGGAAGCUUGGAGCCUAUCUUAUUCAAUCUCAAUUGCAGUGUUCUAGUAGUUCAAGUGCCCUGUUCCUAACAGCUGCUGCACAAAAUCUGUUGUGUGUGAAAUUAGCUGAGGGAUUAGGUGUACAAGUAUCAAGUAAAUGGCUGACUUGGCUCAAGGCUUCGUGUAUACCAGCAGUUAUAUCGCUUUUAGUUACCCCAGUUGUACUAUACAAGAUUUUUCCUCCAGAAAUGAAGGAUACACCAGAUGCUCCAUUAAUGGCUAGAAGGAGACUGCAACAGAUGGGGCCAAUGAAAAGCGAUGAAUGGGUGAUGACGAUUGUGAUGCUUGUAACAGUUGGAUUAUGGAUUGCAGGAGAGGCUAUUGGGCUAGCAAGUGUUAUCACAGCAAUGCUGGGAUUGGCGCUACUUUUGACUUUCGGAAUACUUGAUUGGAAUGAUUGCUUGAGUGAAAAAUCCGCGUGGGAUACCUUAGCUUGGUUCGGGGUUUUAAUAGGCAUGGCAUCACAGUUAACAACUCUGGGAGUUGUCGCCUGGAUGUCAAAUGCUGUGGGUAACUACCUCGAAUCUCUUUCACUACAUUGGUUCGGGGCGUUUUGUAUCCUUCAAGCAGCAUAUUUCUUCAUCCACUACUUGUUUGCUAGUCAAACUGGUCAUGUUGCAGCAUUGUAUUCAGCAUUUCUCGCAAUGUGCUUAGCAGCAAAAGUUCCCGGUCUUUUUGCUGCAUUGGCUUUAGGAUACAACACAAAUCUUUUUGGCGGGUUGACACAUUACAGCAGUGGUCAAGCUGCAGUAUACUAUGGAGCUGGUUAUGUAGAACUACGCGAUGUUUUCAAAUUGGGCAUCAUCAUAGCUAUUAUGAAUAUUGUCAUAUGGGCAGUAGCUGGAGCUGGUUGGUGGAAGGUUCUUGGCCUUUACUAAUACUGAAAUAAGAAUUUUCUGGUGUAAUAACAAUUCAGGACAGGAUGCAUUUGUCCCAAAAAGCUCUAAUUAAAGGUAUUGAUUUGUCAUCAAUUAUAUCGCGAUAAAAUUUGUUGGUGGUGGAGCAAGGAUUUUUAGUUUAUGGGUUUAGUGUCAGUGUUGAACUGGCCUCUUAUUGCAUCUCAUUCCCAUCCUGGGAAGGUAGGACCGAAGAAAGGAAAGAACGAGAUGGUGGUUUUUGUUGUUCCCGCAAAGCAAAGAUCAUUCAUUAUUAUUAGCUUCAAUCUUUUUUAAAAUGCUCUAUCAUUGCCAUACUAUUCGCUAUGGUUCAAUAUUUUUAAGUACGGUUUUGGUUUUGUGCAGUAUGAUAAGUCGGUAAUCAUAGUUUGCACACCCCUAUAUGACACAAAUCAAUCAUUUUUUUAA